rnacentral:lncRNA from 1 species
GUGAGUUUCCCUACCAGCUCAACAAAAAUCCAAGAGCAUUGGCUUGGAUUGGCCUGACUCAUCCCAUCCUCGAACCAAUCCCGGGGGCUAGGGGAGUGGAGGAAGCCAACUGGUCAUGCGCUGUAGCCCCAGACUCGGGUAGGGAGUCAGUGUCACUGGUUGACAAUAAGGAAGGGAAGAGAAGUGGUCCUCAAAUGAAAAUUAGGAUGUUAUCAUAGAAAGGAAGAGUGGAUGCUGCAGAGGAAAGAUAACAAAUGACUAUUACAAUGGUGUAAAAGGAAACCCAUAGAGAAGAAAGAUGACAGAAUGUCCCCACCUCAAAGGCCAGCUCCAGUUGAUUGCUCGUGGCUCUCUGGAAUGUCACAUUGAGAAAGUGUCUGAGACUAAGCCAAAGAAAAAUACAGUGUCAUAAUGGAUUAGAAAUGUCUGCCACGUGCUACAAAACUGUUGACUGCUAGAGACACAUUCCCUGGAGGGCAGAGGAAACUGGAACUGUCUGCUGAAAUUAAUGGCUUUCUGCCUCAAAGGAACUGGAAGGAGGGCCUCCCAGGUGACCAAGGAAUCCACGGUCUCCCAGGUAAACUGUAAGAGCAUGGAGGUAUGAACACAUCACGCAAGGCUAUGGGUGAGUCGAGAUGGGAUUUGUGACUGGAGAGAGCCUCCGGGCCAGGCUGUGGUAAACACCAUCCAGGAUCCAAAACAAGAUGUGAGGAGAAGCG